UACGGAGGGGGCUAGCGUUGUUCGGAGUUACUGGGCGUAAAGAGUGCGUAGGCGGUUUCGCAAGUUUGGUGUGAAAUCUCCCGGCUUAACUGGGAGGGUGCGCCGAAAACUGCGAGGCUUGAGAGUGGGAGAGGUAAGCGGAAUUCCCGGUGUAGCGGUGAAAUGCGUAGAUAUCGCGAGGAACACCAGCGGUGUAGACGGCUUACUGGACCACGACUGACGCUGAGGCACGAAAGCGUGGGGAGCAAACAGG
rnacentral:rRNA from 1 species